rnacentral:ncRNA from 2 species
AAAAUUAACGAAAAAAUUAUUUGUAUAACCUCAAAAAUAUGGUUUGAGGGUAUCUACCAGGAACCGUAAAAUCCUGAUUACAAAGAAAAGGAUACGUCUU